AGCAAUCCUGGUGGCGAGUGGCGAACGGGUGAGUAAUACAUCGGAACGUGCCCAGUUGUGGGGGAUAGCCCGGCGAAAGCCGGAUUAAUACCGCAUACGACCUGUGGGUGAAAGCGGGGGAUCGCAAGACCUCGCGCAAUUGGAGCGGCCGAUGUCAGAUUAGCUUGUUGGUGGGGUAAAAGCCCACCAAGGCGACGAUCUGUAGCUGGUCUGAGAGGACGACCAGCCACACUGGGACUGAGACACGGCCCAGACUCCUACGGGAGGCAGCAGUGGGGAAUUUUGGACAAUGGGCGCAAGCCUGAUCCAGCCAUGCCGCGUGUGGGAAGAAGGCCUUCGGGUUGUAAACCACUUUUGUCAGGGAAGAAACGGUUUAAUCUAAUAAAUUGGACUAAUGACGGUACCUGAAGAAUAAGCACCGGCUAACUACGUGCCAGCAGCCGCGGUAAUACGUAUGGUGCAAGCGUUAAUCGGAAUUACUGGGCGUAAAGCGUGCGCAGGCGGCUUUGCAAGACAGAUGUGAAAUCCCCCGGGCUCAAC
rnacentral:rRNA from 1 species